rnacentral:rRNA from 1 species
UACGGAGGGUGCGAGCGUUAUCCGGAAUUACUGGGUUUAAAGGGUGCGUAGGCGGCUAUGUAAGUCAGGAGUGAAAGUUUGCGGCUCAACCGUAAAAUUGCUUUUGAUACUGCAUGGCUGGAAUUAGGAUGAGGUCAGCGGAAUGUGGCAUGCAGCGGUGAAAUGCAUAGAUAUGCCAUAGAACACCAAUUGCGAAGGCAGCUGGCUAGACCUGGAUUGACGCUGAGGCACGAAAGCGUGGGGAGCGAACAGG